GGUGAAGGAGCUUGUUGAGAAUAGCCUCUGCGCCGGUGCUACCUCCAUAUCCAUCGUUGUUUAAGGAUGGAGGACUCCAGCUCAUCCAGGUUUCUGUUAACGGCCAUAGCAUCCGGGCAGCAUUUACUGUACUGAUUCAUGGAUCAUUUAGCUGGAGCCUGGAGGAUUAAUCAUUGCUAGUUAUCUGUGAGCACAGGUAAGCCUUUUGAAUCAGGAUGGUAUUGCUGACAGGAGCCAGAACACAAUAGAGUCCAAGUUGAUGAGUGCUAACACUACAAGG